UACGUAGGGUGCGAGCGUUAAUCGGAAUUACUGGGCGUAAAGAGUGCGUAGGCGGUUCGUUAUGUCUGUGGUGAAAGCCCUGGGCUCAACCUAGGAAUGGCCAUGGAAACUGGCGGGCUGGAGUAUGGCAGAGGGGGGUGGAAUUCCGCGUGUAGCAGUGAAAUGCGUAGAGAUGCGGAGGAACACCGAUGGCGAAGGCAGCCCCGUGGGCUAAUACUGACGCUGAGGCACGAAAGCGUGGGGAGCAAACAGG
rnacentral:rRNA from 1 species